UUUAUUUCUGAUAUUUUAUGACACUGUCUGCUGUGGAACUCAAAUGGAUGUUCCCAGUGGUGUCUGAGGAUUGUGAGGGGCUGGCGUUUCCCACCUAAUGCCACAUUUUCUUUAAUUAUAGGAACCAUUAAAGAGAUCCUGGGGACUGCCCAGUCUGUGGGGUGCAAUGUUGAUGGCCGCCACCCUCAUGACAUCAUAGAUGAUAUCAACAGUGGUGCAGUGGAAUGUCCGGCUAGUUAAGAACUACAAAGGAAAAGGACUCAAAGAUCAGUUGACAAGCAGUGGACUUUUUGAUGUGGCCUUCUCCUUGGGGAGCUGGUUCUUUGUGGUCAGGUGGUUGGUGGGACCAAGGUGGGAACCUGUGGAAGCACCAUUCUGGGCAUCUGUUAUCUUACCAGUAACAGAUUUCUGCCCUCUAUGGCAGCAGCUCAUGAAAGACAUCUAGAAAAGACGUCUCAGCAGGUUUUGUAGACAUUCCUGGAGCUCUUCAUAAGAAAUAGUUCUUGGCCAGAAGGAAAGCUUGUAGUGCAGCCUAACUACAUGGGUGAUGAAGUUCUUCAUCCUAGACCAAAUCAUUUGGUGGGUUGGGGCCCAGGGCCUGCAAUUCCAGACUGUGGUAUCCAUUCCAGCACACAGCUGGGGUUCACUGAUUGGAUAACAAAGAAACCUGACCUGUGUCCUUGAUUGAUCUGAGUUUAUGUGAAAGUGAGGGUCAAGUAUACUUCUAAAGUUUAGCUACAGCCUAGUCCUAACAUUCUCUUGGCUUUAAGCCAGUAACAGAUUAUAAUGUUUUCACAUUUUC